AUAUAUAUACACACACACAUACAUAUACAUAGAGAGAGAGAGAGACACUAACAUUUUACUCUGUGUACUAAAUGCAUGUUUGGCUGUCUCACAUUGUAAUAUACCAUCAUUGCUUUGCUUUAUUGUCUGGAUUUCUAUGCAAGCAUGGGUGAACUGGAAAUCAUUGUGAUAGAUUCUCUAUGGCCAGAUGUCUGUCCUGUCACCAGCCCUCACCCGGUUAUAUUACCCAUGACCAGAAUUAUUUUCAUGGAUGGUUAGAAAUGAACAGCACUACUUGUGUAGUGGUGACACUUGUUUACAGCUAUGAAGCACUGUCAAGACAAGGACACACACACACACACACACAACACACACACACACACACACACACAUGUACUACUGGUUUCUUUCUGUUUCUGUCUACUAUAUCUAUUCACAAGGCUUUCAUUGGCUUAAGGCUGUAUUUGAAGACUCUUUUCCAAGGUGCUAUGUGGUGGAACUGAACUCAAAGCCAUAUAGAUGGAAAGCAAACUUCUUGAUCACAUGCCAUGCCUAAGCCAAGUGAGUUGAAAAAAAUUUCACUUAACUUUGAUUAUCUUUGCAAUUAGGAGACAAAAACUCUAUCUGAAGUAAUUUUAGCUACAUGAAGUGUUUAUUUUUUUUUUGUCUUUUAGUUACAAAUUAUUGUAAGUGCUGGUGCACCCAGUACAGUAAAUUCUAUAAAGUGGUUGGUGUUAGUGAGGGCAUCCAGCCUUAGAAACCAUGCCAUAGCAGACACUGGAACUUGAUGCAGUCCUGUUGAAUUGUCCAGCCCAUACCUCAGUAGAAGAAGGAGGUUAAGUGGUGAAAGUGGUGAAGACAAAGGAAGAGCUAUGUCAGAGGGAUUGAGUGACAGGACCCAUUGGUAGGGUUGGUCGGUCUCCCUACCAUGCCAGCAAGGGUUGGAUAGCUCAUCAUGAUCCAAGACAGUUGUUAUUGGAGUUUCUCAGGUCUUCUUAUUGAGAGAGGUGGUGGAGAGCUUAAUAUAUAUUGUGAAAGUGCAUGGUUCAGUGGUUAAAGCAUUGGGCUCACAAUCAUGAGGUAAUGAGUUUGAUUCAGGAACCAGGCUCUGUAUUGUGUUCUCGAGCAAGACAUUUUAUUUCAAGUUGUUCUAGUUCACUCAGCUGUAGAAGUGAGUUGCAGCAUCACUGGUGCCAAACUGUAUCAGCCUUUGCCUUUCCUUUGGAUAACAUCAGUGACAUGGAAAGGGAGGUUGAUAUGCAUGGGUAACUGCUGGUCUUCCAUAAACAACCUAACCCAGACUUGUGUCUCUGAGGGGAACUUUCUAGGUACAUCCUAUGGUCAUUUGGGGUCUUUACAGUUUUUUGUUUUUUUUACAGGUGGUAAGAGAGCAUUUUAGGGAAGGGGUAAUAGGAGUAAAAGUGAAAAGUAGUUUCGGGGCUUAGUGAGAGAGAAUGUCUUUUAGGCUAUACUUCAUUUUAUUAUUCAUAACUUAUAUGCAGAGGUGGUAUGUAUUCAGUUUUGAUUAUUUACUUAUUCACAUUUUGAAGUCUAUUGAUAUUAUUGUUGAUGCAAUUGUGAUUAACAAGCAGUUUAUUAAAUAUUAUGUUUAAAUAUAUUUUAAAAGUUAAUAUUUAAAUUGUAAACAAAACAAAAAAAAAACUGUACAAAUACAUCUACAUCAACAAUAACCCUGCCUGCCACCUUUCUUCCCAGUGUUCAUUUAAAAUUUUUCGUUGCCCUUCUUCCCUAGGGGCAGUACAGCCCAUUUUGAAAAAAGCCGUUAGACCUUCUCAAAGAAGCAUAUUCAGCUCAGUUAGUAAGACUAAGAGAUAAUCUCCAAUCUGUGAAGUGAUACAAUGAUAGUACCAUGUCAAAGCAGAUAUUCAGUGCAGCCCUCUGGUUUGCAAGUUUCUGUUGAAUUAUCUAACCCAUGCCAGCAUGGAAAAAUGGCUGUUAAAUGGUAAUGAUGAUGAUAUAUAAAACAAAAGCGGUGAUGCUGGUUAUGAUUAUCAACAAUAGGGAAGGCAGGGAAAUACCCCAGGAGACUGUGUUACUUAUGUGAGACUCUACCAUAUGAAUAUUUAGUAUGUACAUUGCCAUAUAUGUGUGUGUGUGUAUAAAUAUGUAUAUAUCUAUGAACUAGCAGCUUUAUCAAGCAUUGUCUUCAUCUAUAGACAGGAUCUGACAUAAUGACCCUCUCCUUGAAAAGAUGCAAUCCUAUGCAAAACUUUAGCUACCCAAAUGCAAAACUGCCGUCUACAACUUAAAAUGCAUAUACAUAUAUUUGCUUUUAUGUAAGUAUGUAUAUGAAUAUCUGUGAAAGUAUAUAUUUAUGUGUUAAGAUACAAUCAUCUAUGAUAAUAUAUGUGUGUGUGCAUACACAUAUAGAUACGCACACACAUUAAUAAUGUGUUGUGCAUGUUGCUAUAUAUAUGUAUAUGCUCAGGUCUGUUAUUCCCCAAAACAAUAACUCCUCUAUUUCCUUCAUUUUAAUAAUUCUAUCCACUGUUAUUUCCCCCUGUAACAUGGGCACUGAUUUCCUUGUCACUAUGUCCUAUGUUUUAAUUAACAUGUUCUCUUACUUAAAAUGUUAAUUAACCACACAUUACUCAUCUAUUCUCCGCUUUCUCCUACAGUUAAACAGCCACAUGGAUGUAUUUUUUCUUUGAUUUCAUUAUUUCUUAUUGUUAUUGUCAUUUCCUCGCCAUUCUGAACUAUUUCUUUAACUAUUUAUUGAUUGUAUUUAUUGAUUUGAUUUUAAUGAGUUGAAAGAAAAAAAAAACAUUGUAAUUUAUCUGUUAACCUAAGAAGACAAUUAUGAUAAUAAAAUAUUCUAUUGUC
rnacentral:lncRNA from 1 species